UUUUCCCUGUGCUAAAAUGGGGACUUUGAUUCACAGUAUGCACAGUCAUCACUUCUGGACCCACAUUUUUGGAAUAUCGGAGCAUCUCACUGAGGAAGGCUGAUUUGCUGAAGUGUCUCUGAAGCAUGGCAUUCAUCAGACCACACCAUCAUAGCAGGCAGAGCAGCUACACUCCAGGAGAACACAGAGGCAUGGAAUGAUAUGGACCAGCCAUAGUUUUACAUAUGAUCUGCAAGAUUACUUCUGUGGAAGCUCUGUGUGCAGAGAGAGCGAUACUCCAGAGAACUACUCAGCACAAUGACUAACGAUGUUCAUGCUAGCAGCCCUUUGAAGGACCAAUGAUGGAAGGAGGCAGUGACUGCACUACACAGAUUCCACUUCCAGCUUGUUCAAGAUAAGCUGCUUCACAGUGCACUGAAAUGCACUGUUUGGAGUUAAGCAAGAUCCAGUGUCAGAAAUUAUAGUUUCUUCAGAAUUUCUAUUGACAUCACCUGGUGCUGUUCUUCUGAAGCACGGAGUUUAACAAAGUGAGUGGAAACAUUUCCUAGGGCACAUUUCACUCCCUAGGUUAUAUGGCCUAGGAAAAAAAGUACAAUCUAAACAAAGUAAAAUCCACGAGGCUGUCACUUGGCUUUAUAUUUUUGCUUAGAUAGGAAAAAAAUCUGGAAAAUGAGUUGACACAAUUUUAUUAUUUGAUCUUUAACAGCUUGCCAUAUGGAAAAGCUUUAAAAUUUAACUGGAAAAUUUAACCCUUUUAAGAGUUUUAAAUAUUUUAACAGAAAAUGCACUUUGGUCAGUGUUUUUAUGCAGCAAAUUUUACAAAUAAAAGAGUUGUUACUAAAUUCCA
ensembl:lncRNA